GAUGAACGCUGGCGGCGUGCUUAACACAUGCAAGUCGAACGAAGAUGCCGGAGUGCUUGCACUUUGGCAGACUGAGUGGCGGACGGGUGAGUAACGCGUGGGUAACCUGCCUUAUACAGGGGGAUAACAGUUGGAAACGACUGCUAAUACCGCAUAAGCGCACGGUAUCGCAUGAUACAGUGUGAAAAACUCCGGUGGUAUAAGAUGGACCCGCGUCUGAUUAGCUUGUUGGUGAGGUAACGGCCCACCAAGGCGACGAUCAGUAGCCGGCCUGAGAGGGUGAACGGCCACAUUGGGACUGAGACACGGCCCAAAACUCCUACGGGAGGCAGCAGUGGGGAAUAUUGCACAAUGGGGGAAACCCUGAUGCAGCGACGCCGCGUGAGCGAAGAAGUAUUUCGGUAUGUAAAGCUCUAUCAGCAGGGAAGAAGAAAUGACGGUACCUGACUAAGAAGCACCGGCUAAAAGUACGUG
rnacentral:rRNA from 1 species